UUAACUCAAAUUUUUGUGGAGUUGAAACGUUUGUCUACGUUUGCCGUUAGGGGCGCUGUACCAACUGCGUACAAAUUAGAGUUA
rnacentral:pre_miRNA from 1 species